GAACACUUUGGUUCCAGCUGAGACCGUCAGACUGAACACAACUCACUAAACUGUAUUCAUACUGAUCCUUCAGUUACAGUAUCUUCCCUAUGAGGCAUGGACAAACUCAUUGCUGUUCUGCUUUUGUCUUCUGUCAUGGGUGUGAGCUGUGAAGAUCUCACUGCAGAGAGGAAAGAAGAGUCCGCUUUAGAGAACAGCUCUGUUACUCUGUCCUUCAGAUACUCCAAACAAGCAACUGCUGGAGAUGAACUUUACUGGUAUCAUCAAGAUCCAGGAGAACCACCACAGUUCCUCAUCUCUCACACAGGGACAGGAACACCAUUAUCAGAUCCAGUUCCUGGACUGUCUUUUACAGUAAGUGGGGAUCGUGUGGAUCUCCAGAUCUCCUCUGCUGCACUGAGUGACUCUGCUGUGUACUACUGUGCUGUGAGGCCCACAGUGACAGGAAACACCAACACUCUGUACAAAAACACAACGUGUCUCUCUGACAUGCUGCUAACAGCUUCUGCUUGUGUUGAUACUUUUACCUCCACCAGAGGGAGACAUCAUCAAGUAGUUCAUACUCCACAUCAACACUGAGUUCAUCCAUUGGCUCAUUCUGAACUGCUGCUGAGAAGAGAAGUACUGUCACACUGACAGACUGACAAACUUCAGCUAGUUCCUCCUGUUGAUUGAAUCCUUGUUGUAGAGAUG